AUCCUGGCUCAGGAUGAACGCUAGCGGCAGGCUUAAUACAUGCAAGUCGAGGGGCAGCACGGGUAGCAAUACCUGGUGGCGACCGGCAAACGGGUGCGGAACACGUACGCAACUUUCCCAGAACUGGUGAAUAGCCUUCCGAAAGGGAGAUUAAUACACCGUAAGAUAUAGUUUAGGCAUCUAGAUUAUAUUAUAGCUCCGGCGGUUUUGGAUGGGCGUGCGGCUGAUUAGGUAGUUGGUGUAGGUAACGGCUCACCAAGCCUACGAUCAGUAACUGGUGUGAGAGCACGACCAGUCACACGGGCACUGAGACACGGGCCCGACUCCUACGGGAGGCAGCAGUAAGGAAUAUUGGUCAAUGGACGCAAGUCUGAACCAGCCAUGCCGCGUGAAGGAUGAAUGCCCUCUGGGUUGUAAACUUCUUUUAUAGGGGACGAAAAAGGGUCUUUUUAGAUCAACUGACGGUACCCUAGGAAUAAGCACCGGCUAACUCCGUGCCAGCAGCCGCGGUAAUACGGAGGGUGCAAGCGUUAUCCGGAUUUACUGGGUUUAAAGGGUGCGUAGGUGGGUUGGUAAGUCAGCGGUGAAAUCUUCGAGCUUAACUCGGAAACUGCCAUUGAUACUAUCAGCCUUGAAUAUCCUGGAGGUGAGCGGAAUAUGUCAUGUAGCGGUGAAAUGCUUAGAUAUGACAUAGAACACCAAUUGCGAAGGCAGCUCACUACGGGAUUAUUGACACUGAGGCACGAAAGCGUGGGGAUCAAACAGGAUUAGAUACCCUGGUAGUCCACGCCCUAAACGAUGGAUACUCGACAUUUGCGAUAUACAGUAAGUGUCUGAGCGAA
rnacentral:rRNA from 1 species